GUGGCUAGGCAUGCGCACACGCGUACCCAGAAAUGGUCCAUGAACCUUUCAGCUUCACUUGUGUUCGAUGUGUGCCAGUCUUCCUGGCGAAUGAAGCCUCAUUUUUGAUUCCAUCGGCUUAGCAGGGCGCACACAUAAGCUCGUUAGCUUAUCAGUGUAUAUUUUGCAGUGAGAUCGUUGGCUGAUUCAUCUGGUGCUGAAGGGAGCUGCUGGCUGCGUUGACCUUCAGCCGGGAAGUCCGGCGAUAUCGUUUACAUGACAGGCAGAAUGACAGCUGAGCCUCAAAAGGAAAACAUUGCCUCCAAAUCUGCGGUUCGUGGGCCAUUUCUUCGCGCUCUGUUGGCUCAAUCCUUCUGAAGGCGGCAAGGACAUCAACGCACCAGAGGGAACAAGAUGCUCACAGGAUGCACCAAAGGAAAUGGGAUGUGCUCUCUGCAUGGGACGAACUUGCAUCUGGCUUAACUCUAGAGUUCAUUUGUGAAAAUGAAUGAGGGCAGCGCCUCAGGAGUGCGGACACAAUGUGGUUUACUCAACCAGUUACUUAGCUUUACUUAAGUAUG